GACGGGACCGCACAAGCGGUGGAGUGAUGUGGUUUAAUUCGAUGCAACGCGAAAACCUUACCACCUUGACAUGUACGGAAUCCUUUAGAGAUAGAGGAGUGCUCGAAAGAGAACCGUAACACAGGUGCUGCAUGGCUGUCGUCAGCUCGUGUCGUGAGAUGUUGGGUUAAGUCCCGCAACGAGCGCAACCCUUGUCAUUAGUUGCUACAUUCAGUUGGGCACUCUAAUGAGACUGCCGGUGACAAGCCGGAGGAAGGUGGGGAUGACGUCAAGUCCUCAUGGCCCUUAUAGGUGGGGCUACACACGUCAUACAAUGGAUGGUACAAAGGGUCGCCAACCCGCGAGGGGGAGCCAAUCCCAUAAAGCCAUUCGUAGUCCGGAUCGCAGUCUGCAACUCGACUGCGUGAAGUCGGAAUCGCUAGUAAUCGUGGAUCAGAAUGUCACGGUGAAUACGUUCCCGGGUCUU
rnacentral:rRNA from 1 species